rnacentral:rRNA from 1 species
CACGUAGGGCGCAAGCGUUUAUCCGGAAUUAUGGUGCGUAAAGAGCUCGUAGGCGGUCUGUUGCGUCCGCUGUGAAAACUCGGGGCUUAACCCCGAGCCUGCAGUGGAUACGGGCAGACUAGAGGUAGGUAGGGGAGAAUGGAAUUCCCGGUGUAGCGGUGAAAUGCGCAGAUAUCGGGAGGAACACCGGUGGCGAAGGCGGCUCACUGGCUCGUAUCUGACGCUCAGGCGCGACAGCGUGGGGAUCAAACAGG